rnacentral:lncRNA from 1 species
CCACAAGGAGGAAACCUAGAUAGUGUAACCCAUCAGAUUUUUCUCAGUUUUGUUUUAAUGUGUAUGCGUUAUUUACUGUCGUGAGUCACUUUGAGUCCCUUUUGCUUUUUUAAAACGUGACUAAUAAAUUUAAAUAUUGAUAUUGAAUCAAAACCAACUAUCUCCCUUGUCUUCUUCUUUUCCCUUAGGGUUUGCCCUCUAUUCUCAGCAAUCUGCCAGGCGUGGUGAACCCUGGACCUGGAGGUGUUGGUGGCCCAUUUCUGAUCCCUUAUCCUGGAAUUCCUGGGGCGGGCUUCCCACCUAUUGUGGGGAAAUAGCAUCCCAGCUGAUAUACCCUCCUGCGGUAUGUACCAAAUGUUUUGUUGGCAAAUUCCAUUUCAUAUCAUUUAUAGCUUUGCUGCUUUAUGAAAUGCUUAACUGCCAGCAAGCCAAAGCACAUGGCUUAUGUUUAAUACUAGUAUGCCAAAACCUGUACACAGCAUCCCGUCAUGUGUGCCAACUUCCACUUAUUCAGGACACAUUCCAGUGAAUGUUUAAAAAUGCUUAAGGCUACAAUCCUAUUCCAUAUACCUGAGAGCAGGUUUCAUUGUAUCCCCAAGUAAAAACGCAUAAAAUUGGGCUGGGUAUCCCAUGGCUUUCAGUGAGAGAAACAGAAACCAAUGAGAUUUUCAAGGACUUUGCUUUGGCUGAACUGGAGAGCAGAUUUGUAGCGCCAUGAGACAAGUGACCAGGGCCAGCCCCAAGACAUUUUGGAUGGCCGAGGAAAGCCACAAAUAGGGACCCCCC